GAUUGGAGAGAUGAUUGCCGGAUAUGCAGUAUAUUUGGCUGGAGUGGUUUUGAAGUGAAUAAUUAAUUCCUCUUGCAGCUAAGAGGCUCACACUCAGUCAAGGGGAUCUCAAGCUCCAACAUGAGAGCUCUUGCAAAGAUCCUACAAUCUCAAGCUCCACUUUGAGGGCUUUUGCAAAGAUCCUACAAUCUCUUAAAAGGAUUGGCCAAAGGGCGGACCCCCAACCAAUCCCCAUGUGCAAAUUUGAAUUCCGUAUUGUCAAGGAUUCAAAC